CAUGUUAGUCAUUUUGAGCUGAAGGCAUUUGGGAAACAUCAGAUGCAGGGAAGGCUCUCUAAUCUAUUCUUUUCUACCUAAGAAGAGGCCAUAAAAUGUCUCAUGAGAAAGGUUUACAGAGGACUUUCUGAGAAUCUAUAGUUUUAAAGCUCUCAUUGGUAUAAAGACAUAGAUGAUGAUGAGUGAAAAAUCUUUGUCAGAGAACAGAUGAAAUUCAUGAAUCCAAGGCCUUAUUUCUUGAAGAUGAAGUCCCCAGGUUUUCAAGCAUGUGGAGGCUACCUGGAAGUAUCCUGAGGAAAGGCAGGUUGUA